GUAGUCUCGCACAGAUGCAUAUCAAUAAGCGGAGGAAAAGAAACUAACAAGGAUUCCCUUAGUAACGGCGAGUGAAGCGGGAAGAGCUCAAAUUUGAAAUCUUGAAAGGUCACCUUUCACGAAUUGUAGUUUAAAGAAGUGUUUUCUGUUACGAUCGUAAUAUAAGUUCUUUGGAAUAGGACAUCACAGAGGGUGAGAAUCCCGUCUAUGAUUGCGAUUUGUAGCUUUGUGUUACACUUUCAAAGAGUCGGGUUGUUUGGGAAUGCAGCCCAAAACGGGAGGUAAAUUUCUUCUAAGGCUAAAUAUUGGCGAGAGACCGAUAGCGAACAAGUACCGUGAGGGAAAGAUGAAAAGAACUUUGAAAAGAGAGUUAAACUAGUACGUGAAAUUGUCAAAAGGGAAGCGUUUGACACCAGUGUUGUUUUCUCGAAAAUCAAUUAAAAAUGGCUCGAUUUUGUAUUGCUGAGACCUUAAAAGCUCACUGUACAUUUUUCGUGUCUUUUUUAAUGCACUUUUCGUUUAACAAGUCAACAUCAGUUUCUUUUGUUGUAAAAGGGUCAUUGGAAGGUGGCUUUCUUUUCGGAGAAAGUGUUUAUAGCCUUUGGCCUCUGCAAUCGGAAGAGACCUGAGGUCUGCAGCGUAGACUCUUCGGGGUUAGAUACAUUUGUGCUAAGUUAUAGCUUUUUAUAGACAACUUGUUGACUAUAAUUAGUCUUGUAGCUUACUCGCUUAUGCUAUUUUACCUACGCUUAGGAUGUUGAGUCGUAGAGCACGCAG
rnacentral:rRNA from 1 species